AGACGCGCGAGUCUCAGGUCCCGCUAAUUACCUGGCGGGUGCUGCCCACCCCUGCCCUCGCGCACCUAGCGCGGUGGCAGGCGGGAAGGCGGGGCCUGGGGGAGCCCCACCCCUGGAGACUGCGGCUGGGGCCUCCCUCUCCUCCGCCCGCCCGCCUGCCACUAGCUCAUUGCGCCUCUCCUGCAGUCUGAUUGGCACCGGCUCCCAUUCCGGCUCCAGCCUCCAAUCCGACCCCCAUUUCGGCUGCAGCCUCGGACCUAGCUCCGGCCCUCGGUCUAUCCGGUUGCAUCCUCCCUCCCUGUUCCGGAUCUUAUCUUGCGCCAGCGCCUACUCCAGGAUCCCGUAGCCAGACCUCAAGCCAUGGCUGGUCCCUUCUCCCGUCUGCUGUCCGCCCGCCCGGGACUCAGGCUCCUGGCUUUGGCCGGAGCGGGGUCUCUAGCCGCUGGGUUUCUGCUCCGACCGGAACCUGUACGAGCUGCCAGUGAACGACGGAGGCUGUAUCCCCCGAGGCUUUUCCCCUCCUCCAUCCGUAGUGUUGUGUCAUGGGAGGAAAGAACUGAGCAGAUCUGAAGAAACUGAGCUGGCCAGCCAGAGGCAACUAGAACUAUUAGGAAAGCAUAGACUCUGAAAGUCCCUAAAGAGAUUACCAAGGUUUACCCUCUUUCUAAUUCCCCCUCCUCCCGCGGAGCAAAGCCAGACAUGGCCAACUGGACAGCUCCCAGGUAACUGCACUAGGUCUAGGCGUCUGUGCCCUCCCUCCAUGGUUACUGGGUACCCCCUCCCCAGCGCUGAGUACCCAGACCUCCGAAAGCACAACAACUGCAUGGCCAGUCACCUGACCCCAGCAGUCUAUGCACGGCUCUGCGACAAGACCACACCCACUGGUUGGACGCUAGAUCAGUGUAUCCAGACUGGCGUGGACAACCCUGGCCACCCCUUCAUCAAGACUGUGGGCAUGGUGGCUGGAGAUGAGGAGACCUAUGAGGUAUUUGCUGACCUGUUUGACCCUGUGAUCCAAGAGCGACACAAUGGAUAUGACCCCCGGACAAUGAAGCACACCACGGAUCUAGAUGCCAGUAAAUCAGAACUGGCCGAAGCAUCCGAGGACUCAGUCUGCCUCCAGCUUGCACUCGAGCAGAGCGACGAGAGGUGGAACGUGUUGUGGUGGAUGCACUGAGUGGCCUGAAGGGUGACCUGGCUGGACGUUACUAUAGGCUCAGUGAGAUGACAGAGGCUGAACAGCAGCAGCUUAUUGAUGACCACUUUCUGUUUGAUAAGCCUGUGUCCCCGUUGCUGACUGCAGCAGGAAUGGCUCGAGACUGGCCAGAUGCUCGUGGAAUUUGGCACAACAAUGAGAAGAGCUUCCUGAUCUGGGUGAAUGAGGAGGAUCAUACACGGGUGAUCUCCAUGGAGAAGGGUGGUAACAUGAAGAGAGUGUUUGAAAGAUUCUGCCGAGGCCUCAAAGAGGUGGAGAGACUUAUCCAAGAACGUGGCUGGGAGUUCAUGUGGAAUGAGCGUUUGGGAUACAUCUUGACCUGUCCAUCUAACCUGGGCACUGGACUUCGGGCAGGAGUGCACAUCAAACUGCCCCUGCUAAGCAAAGAUAGCCGCUUCCCAAAGAUCCUGGAGAACCUAAGACUCCAAAAGCGUGGUACUGGAGGAGUGGACACUGCUGCCACAGGCGGUGUCUUUGAUAUUUCUAAUUUGGACCGACUAGGCAAAUCAGAGGUGGAGCUGGUGCAACUGGUCAUCGAUGGAGUAAACUAUUUGAUUGAUUGUGAACGGCGUCUGGAGAGAGGCCAGGAUAUCCGCAUCCCCACACCUGUCAUCCACACCAAGCAUUAACUCCCCAUCGCCAGCUGAUGACUCAAGAUUCCAAGGAGUUCUGCUCAUUCUAAUGAUGGCCCAUUCUACUUGCUCUGGACCUGCCCUCGCAUCCCCUGCCUCCAUCCUAGUAAAGACUCCUUGCUAUGCUGCA